AAAGAAACCAACAGGGAUUGCCUCAGUAACGGCGAGUGAAGCGGCAACAGCUCAAAUUUGAAAUCUGGCCCUCGGGCCCGAGUUGUAAUUUGUAGAGGAUGCUUUGGGCGCGGCGCCUUCCGAGUUCCUUGGAACAGGACGCCUUAGAGGGUGAGAGCCCCGUACGGUUGGACGUCAAGCCUAGGUAAAGCUCCCUCGACGAGUCGAGUAGUUUGGGAAUGCUGCUCUAAAUGGGAGGUAAAUUUCUUCUAAAGCUAAAUACCGGCCAGACCGAUAGCGCACAAGUAGAGUGAUCGAAAGAUGAAAAGUACUUUGAAAAGAGGGUUAAAUAGCACGUGAAAUUGUUGAAAGGGAAGCGUUUAUGACCAGACCCGGGCCUGGCGGAUCAUCCGGUGUUCCUCACCGGUGCACUUCGCCUGGCCUAGGCCAGCAUCGAUUUCCGCCGGGGGACAAAGGCCGCGGGAACGUAGCUCCCCUAGGGGAGUGUUAUAGCCCUAGGCGCAAUGCCCUGGCGGGGAUCGAGGUUCGCGCUCCGGCAAGGAUGCUGGCGUAAUGGUCAUCAACGACCCGUCUUGAAACACGGACCAAGGAGUCGAACAUCUAUGCGAGUGUUUGGGUGUGAAAACCCUCACGCGGAAUGAAGGUGAAUGGAGGUGAGAGCCCCUCGGGGGCGCAUCAUCGACCGAUCCUGAUGUCUUCGGAUGGAUUUGAGUAGGAGCAUAGCUGUUCGGACCCGAAAGAUGGUGAACUAUGCGUGGGUAGGGUGAAGCCAGAGGAAACUCUGGUGGAGGCUCGCAGCGGUUCUGACGUGCAAAUCGAUCGUCAAAUCUGCGCAUGGGGGCGAAA
rnacentral:rRNA from 1 species